rnacentral:tRNA from 1 species
UUAGUUGAAACCAAAAAAUGAGGUAUUCCACUGUUAAUGGAAAAAUUGGAGGAACUCCCAAUUAAA